rnacentral:rRNA from 1 species
GACGUAGGGGGCGAGCGUUGUCCGGAAUUACUGGGCGUAAAGGGCGCGUAGGCGGCUUGAUAAGUCAGAUGUGAAAGUCCCAUUUUCAAGGUGGGGAGUGCAUUUGAUACUGUUGAGCUUGAGUGCAGGAGAGGUAAGUGGAAUUCCAUGUGUAGCGGUGAAAUGCGUAGAGAUAUGGAGGAACACCAGUGGCGAAGGCGACUUACUGGACUGUAACUGACGCUGAGGCGCGAAAGCGUGGGGAGCAAACAGG